GCAAAGAAACCUCAAGCCUCAGCCUCCGUUGCAGCCAUUAUUUCACGUCACUGAUUAUUUAUAACACUUAAAUAUUCAUAUCGGUUAAAAUUUGAUUGAAUGUGUGGCACUAGUCCCCCUGAAAACAAACAAAAAUCUCAUAAUAACUGAACGUAAAUGAUAACAAGUCUAUAAAUAAUUCUCUACCUUAGAGGUAGAAACGGACAUGUACGACAUGUCGCGGGACGGUGCGUAAUUUCCAACGCGGUACAAGACGGUAAG